UGAUUAACUAAUCGUGCCUCUUUCCAUUUAUAAGCCAUAUUCCCGCCAUUUAUUUGGUCCAAUUAGUUGGAACACACGAGCGAGCGUUUAAUCAUCAAAAUCUCUCCCUCCCUCUGUGUUGCAGGAGGUCCUUGAAUGAACUACAACAAAGGUUCUCUUUCUCUCUGUUCGAUUUGUCCAUCAGCCUCUUUGUCGAUCUAUCGAACAUUUUUCAUCCACCUCUCCGCUUCUCUCCCUCAUCUGUUUUCUCUUCCUUGGUUCGUAGAAUGCCGAAGACAAAACCCAAAUUUUGUGCACAACUCAUCCACCAUGACAACAUUGUAAAAAAUUAGGGUUUCAUUCGUAAAUGUUUUCAUGUCUGGGGCCUGUUCCCAUCUAUUGUAGUGUCGUGUGGUAGCCAGACCCAUCCGAUCAAGCCCUGCAUUGGAGAUUGUGAAUGAAGGUAAGGGUGUGUUCGCGCUGCCUGGCGGUACUGACCAGAAACAUCAUCGGCAAGAAGCACUUCAACCAAGGGGACAAGCAACUGCCCUACCCUCUCAGGAGGGAUCUUCUGCCCAUGGCGAAUUUAACUCCAAGAGCCUACAUCUAUUAAUCUGCAAGAAGCUAUCUUAUCCAUUCAUGGAAAGGUCCUUUUCUUCACAAAUUCUGGAGCAGGGGCCAAUGAACUUGCUAUGAUGAUCACAUGCCUGUAUAUUUCUUUAGCCAAUCGAUACAUCACUCUCCUCCUAUUAUCUGGUCAAAUGUGUAAAGCUUCAUCACCUAGAAGUCCUCCUGUCCUAGGGUGGACCAAUCAUUGACUUGUGAUUCCAGGAUAUGUUGAACAAAAUUCGUCAGGAUUCCCUAAAUCAAUGGUACACCAACAUAAAUAGAAUUGCUACUGAUCAAGUUUUUUCAAGGAAAAAGUUGCUGGAUGGGAACCUCCACGAGCGAUUUAGGAAAUGUUACCAUGACACGCAGAACAGGACACGCCUGUCCUGUUUAGCAAAUUUUUUCAUCAAACGUUGGACACCGGACAGGCUGGACAGGACGGACGACUGAAGGAGGGUAUAAAUGAUUUUUUUGUCCCUGUCCGUUCCGAGCUAACCCUCGGAACAGACAGGACAGAACUCAUCUCCCGCCCCCCGACGACCCCGACCCCAACCCCAAUCCCGAGCCCUCGACGCAUCUCCUUCUCCUCCACCUCCGCCCCCAUCUCCCCUGCCUUUCUCCUCUUCUCCGCCCUCGACUGACUUUCUCCUCCAUCUGUGCCAUCGUCUAUGCCCCCGAGCUGUCUGAUUCUUGUUUCUCUCCUUCUGCUCUGUCGCCCGAGCUGCCCUAACCCUCGCCCUGUAGCCCCUUCUUGUCUUCCUUGCCCCUCACGCUUCUUCACCCUCCUUCAACCUCUCGCCUCCUUCAAACGUGCAGUGGAUUGAAGUUGCCCCUCGCCCUACCAAUCAAACAAUCUGCCCAUUCCACAGGCAGACCAACCGUAGCUUCCGUUGCAGCCCAGCAGCUCCUCAGCUUCCUCUUCUCCUCUCCUUAGCAGGAACGACAACUCUCUGCGACAGUGACUCAUCCGACUCAUUUCCGGCAUUCCUGAAGAGCAUCUCUGGAGAAGGGGGUGAUACUGCAUACUGUACUCUAGAGUGCAGGCAGCAGCAGAUGAACAUCGAUGAGAAGAAGGAGAAGUGCUCGAUGACAUCCAUGAAGAAGGAGACAGCCCCUGUUGGGUCUGAGCCCUCCGGGAAAGGAGAAACAGUUGCUGCAGCAUGAUGAUGUUGAUGAUGAUCCACAUUGUGUUCUAUGGAAUCUUAGAUGAUGAUGAUGAUGACACAUCGUUUUGCUGCCAUUUCAGAUGUUCUACCUUAUAAAUAUGUCCUGUAUUUUUAUAAUUUUAGCAAGGGUAGCACUAGUUCUGGGGUUAAAGUGAAGUUAGGACCUUGUUUUUAGAAAAAAAAAGUUGUGGAAAUGAAGAAUGCUGGCUCCUUGUAUGAAUGGCUAGGGUGCAACAAGAAUUUUCCUUAGAUGGGUAUCCAAUGUUCGCAUGAGUUUUGAGAGAAAAGAAGUGAAAAAGAAAAAGUGAAAAGAAAGUAUAAGAACUUAUUGUUAUUGUCCUGGGCUUCUUUCUUCUUCGUGUGAAAAAGAUGGUAAAAAAAAAAACUUGGUUGUCUUGUACGGCUCUCUUCUUCCCUCUGUGAAUGAAACUUCAUUUUAAAGAUCA